AAUUAGGCUUUAGUUUAAGGGAGAGAAGGACUAGACACUAGCCAGCGAAACUACUAGAAUCUGCAGACUAUCUGGACUACACCGAGAUGAAAUCUGCUGUUGUGUUCAUCGCAGUCUUAGCCCUCAUGGCGCUAUUUCUGGUUGUCGAAGCACGGCACCUUGGACAUUUACCAUUUUGGCCAUGUACUUGCUUUCCUCGGCAAUACUGUCCUGAAGGAUGCACUAUUAAGGUGACCAGUUAGCCAUAUAGAGCUUACAUCAAGCUGGCUAAUCCUUACAUUUGAGGUUUUGAGCUUAGCCAUCAAGCUUCAAUCGUAUUUGACUUCGUAAUUUACAAAUGAUGUUACGGUCAAGUUGUUAAUAAAACGAUUUUGAUUUCCAAACUUCU